GGACCGCAUCCUCUCACCCCUCUCCUUUUCUGCCACCUUGGCUGGGAAGUGGAGGAGUUCUGACUCACAGCCCAAAGUCCUGUCUACACCGGAUGCCAAGAGAAGAACCCGGCAUACAGCAGACCGGGAAGUCUUGUGGGACGUAUCCUGUGGCUGAACCUCUUCCCAUCCAGCAGCAUGGGAACCUCUUUCCAUCUUCUUUCUCAUGAAGAAAACCAAAAACAAGGAUUUCCACUUCUCGGAGCAAGUCUUUACUCCACUCUUCUAAUCCACUGUGUCCUGGACCCCACCCAUAUGGGGCCAUCCUCCUGUGCCCAGCACCAACUCCGUCCCAGGGACCUUGGCUGCAAUCACCUUCCUCUCUCACAAUUCACAAUUUUCUGGAUUUUUUCCUCAUGUCGUUUCCACUGACUCCUCACCAAAGCUCAUCUCUCUCAUGCUUCCCAGCCCUUGAUCUGGACAUCAUAAGGCUGUAGAAAGAUCCUAGGAUAGAGACCGAGAAAGCUGAGUUCUAGAACUUUCCAUCAACCAAAAGCAUUAUUUUUAACAAUAAAAAGAUUUGCAGGUUU
rnacentral:lncRNA from 10 species